rnacentral:rRNA from 1 species
GAUGAACGCUAGCUACAGGCUUAACACAUGCAAGUCGAGGGGAAACGACAUCGAAAGCUUGCUUUUGAUGGGCGUCGACCGGCGCACGGGUGAGUAACGCGUAUCCAACCUGCCCACCACUUGGGGAUAACCUUGCGAAAGUAAGACUAAUACCCAAUGACGUCUCUAGAAGACAUCUGAAAGAGAUUAAAGAUUUAUCGGUGAUGGAUGGGGAUGCGUCUGAUUAGCUUGUUGGCGGGGUAACGGCCCACCAAGGCGACGAUCAGUAGGGGUUCUGAGAGGAAGGUCCCCCACAUUGGGACUGAGACACGGUUCAAACUCCUACGGGAGGCAGCAGUGAGGAAUAUUGGUCAAUGGGCGAGAGCCUGAACCAGCCAAGUAGCGUGCAGGAUGACGGCCCUAUGGGUUGUAAACUGCUUUUAUAAGGGAAUAAAGUGAGUCUCGUGAGACUUUUUGCAUGUACCUUAUGAAUAAGGACCGGCUAAUUCCGUGCCAGCCGCCGCCGUAA